rnacentral:rRNA from 1 species
UCUACGGCCAUACCACCGCUGAACGCGCACCGAUCUCGUCUGAUCUCGGAAGCUAAGCAGGGUCGGGCCCGGUUAGUACUUGGAUGGGAGACCGCCUGGGAAUACCGGGUGCUGUUAGGC